GUGGAUGAUCUGGGUGGAUGAAACAACUGCAGCUGUGGAUUUUUCUAAAAAGAACCUCUUGAGAGUUGCUUUUCUGACAAUUUUUUUCUACAUCUAAAAAGGCAUGGAAGGGUUGGAAAUGGUUAGUGGGGGCAAAUUUAAGACUUUGCUUAAAACGGAGAGUUGUGUGGAGGAUAAAACUUUUUGGAACAAACUAAAAAUUCCUAGUGAUUCUUCAUCUGGAGGGCUCAUUGUCUUUCCAAUCUUCUUCCGGCUCUCCCUCCUCUAUGCUUAGAUUUAUCUUUCUGGUUCUUGAUGGAUAUGGUGUUUGGGGGUGAGUAGGACUAUAUUUUAUUCCUUUCAGUUGUUCCCUUUUAGAACAUACUACCCUAGUAUUAUAUUAUUUAUUUUCUGUUGUUUCAUACAGAUUCCACUGCUGAACUUACCCUGGUACUCCCAUUGAGGAAUUACGCAGACACUUUGUGGACAAGUACUU